rnacentral:tRNA from 1 species
GGUUCGGUAGCUCAGCUGGAUAGAGCGUCAUCCUUCUAAGAUGAGGGCCAUUGGUUCGAAUCCAAUCCGAAUCACAA